GCGUGCUUCAGAUCUCCGGAGAUAGCAUGGUACGCUGUGUCCAGCCCAGAGGUGAAAGCCAUCCAAAGCAGAGUAACUGUGCUUUGUGUCCAAGUUGAUACCUGUGGAGAGGAAAGGAAAGAGAGAGUGAGUAACACAAGGAGAACCAGAGGGAACCUGUACUUACAGUACGCUGUGUCCAGCCCAGAGGUGAAAGCCAUCCAAAGCAGAGUAACUGUGCUUUGUGUCCAAGUUGAUACCUGUGGAGAGGAAAGGAAAGAGAGAGUGAGUAACACAAGGAGAACCAGAGGGAACCUGUACUUACAGUACGCUGUGUUCAGCCCAGAGUUGAUACCUGUGGAGAGAAAAGGAGAGAGAGUGGGUAACACGAGGAGAGACCGAGGAAAACUGUACUUACGCCGCUACCUGUGGAGAAAGAGAAAGCGAGUGAGCACCCAAGGAACGAACUGUGUGAACCAGUACUUACCGUGAGCUGUAUUCAGCGAAGAGGAGGAAGAAGGAGGGCGCUACGGAUACCUAAGACUCAGGCCGGGGCCCGAGUCCCACGCCCCGGAUCCCCGUGGCCCCCUUUCUCCCUGACCUCUUCCCGGCCAUAGCCCAUCUGGAGGGCCGAGUCAGAGUUUAGUUUUAAUUGCCCUUUCCCUAUUCCCCAAGCUAUUUUUAAAUAUUUAAAUAAAGAUUGUUUUAUCAUUUAUUUGUUCUCGUGUUGUUUGGCCAUUGGGUUGGCUUUGGGGACCUCCUCGAGGUGGAAGUUGAGAAGGGGUGUGGCUUAGUCAAAGCAUAGCCAGCCCCUGGGUGUGACAUUUACAUAGAAAAACUAUGUAAAAGUAGCGCAUUGGAAUCGAAAAAAUGCACUCUUUGUGAAUGGCCCCUAGGUAUUCUUGGGCUGUUUUAAAAAAAAAAUAAAAAAAUAAUAAUAAAUAAUAAUAAUAAAAAAUAUAGAUAUCAGAGUUGUUUGGAGUGGGGAUGAAUUUACCGUGAUCUGCGGUGACAUUACAAUCGUGUUGCAUUAUGGUAAAUGGGGCGGCCUGAAGUGAACAUCUGAAGUAGACCUGCUCCCUCUAUCAAAAUCGAGAGGUCGAGGGCAUAGGUGGAACAUGUGUAAGGCUGGCCAUGAGUACUUGGGGCAAAAACGCAACUAAAUUGGACAAAAAAUGCCCCUGCACAAACAAAUUAAAUCUAUUACGUCUGUUGCUAAUAAAGUAAAAAUAAAUAAUCAGUGUCGAUUGUGGCAUCAAAUUAAGAUCUGCUCGUGUUGCAUCGUAUUUCAUUUUAGAUGUUUUUACAGUGUUGUGCAUUUUAACCAAUCACACACAAUUCUGUUGAGCUAAGG
ensembl:lncRNA